AUACGUAGGGUGCGAGCGUUGUCCGGAAUUACUGGGCGUAAAGAGCUCGUAGGUGGUUUGUCGCGUCGUCUGUGAAAUUCCGGGGCUUAACUCCGGGCGUGCAGGCGAUACGGGCAUAACUUGAGUACUGUAGGGGAGACUGGAAUUCCUGGUGUAGCGGUGAAAUGCGCAGAUAUCAGGAGGAACACCGGUGGCGAAGGCGGGUCUCGGGGCAGUAACUGACGCUGAGGAGCGAAAGCAUGGGUAGCGAACAGGAUUAGAUACCCUGGUAGUCCAUGCCGUAAACGGUGGGCGCUAGGUGUAGGGGUCUUCCACGACUUCUGUGCCGUAGCUAACGCAUUAAGCGCCCCGCCUGGGGAGUACGGCCGCAAGGCUAAAACUCAAAUGAAUUGACGGGG
rnacentral:rRNA from 1 species